GUAGAUAUGUACAUGAAGGCAGGGUAAUGUGACUUGGCAUCAGGAUAGAUAAUAAUAAGGUAUUUGAGGUAGAUAUGUACAUGAAGACAGGGUAAUGUGACUAGGCAUCAGGAUAGAUAAUAAUACGGUAUUUGAGGUAGAUAUGUACAUGAAGACAGGGUAAUGUGACUAGGCAUCAGGAUAGAUAAUAAUAAGGUAUUUGAGGUAGAUAUGUACAUGAAGGCAGGUUAAUGUGACAAGGCAUCAUGAUAGAUAUUAAUAAUAAUGUAUUUGAGGUAGAUAUGUACAUGAAGGCAGGGUAAUGUGACAAGGCAUCAGGAUA
ensembl:lncRNA